UCCUCUUCCCGCUCCUCUUCUCCUUUUCCUCUCCUUUUUCAUCUCCUUUUUCAUCCUUUUUCUCUGUCCUUUCCUUCCCUUUCCGCAUUAUUUCGGCUCCUCCGGCGCUUUGCCUUCGCCGAGGCAGCGCCAGCCGCAUUCCGCCUCACAAGAUUUGCUAAUGGAGGCGAGUUCAAAACGCAGGUCGCGGUCACAAACGACCUGAAGGGCGCAGGAGGCGGCUCCCCCUAAAGCUGCUUAGUUUUCUUUAUAAAAUAUCCACCAGCCUGUUCGUGAGAAAAGCGCCUUGUGUCAGCCACCGCAGGGAAACUGUGCUAUAUGAAAAAAAAAAUAAAAAAAAAUUUAGAAGGCUUGGCAGAUAGCAAGGUGAUUUAGCUGCCUUCACAACAGUGAAUUCUUCAGGUUUACAUUUUGUUGUGAAUGUCAGGGCUCCCAGCCUGAGGUAACUGGGGCAGCAAGGAUGUGAUUACAGACCUGCUUGGAAGGACUGCACUUCAAUUUUGGGAUGGUUUGUGAUAUCAAAGCAAGAGGACAUGGCUAAUACCUGCUGUGCUGUGGUGAUUCAUGCUUGGAUCGUUAUGGCAAGCCAUGAAUUAACAAGGAAACUGUGUGGAUUAUCCUGCUCUGGGAGGGAAUGUGGUAGAAAUCCAAAAUCUGAAGCUGCCCAGGAAUUGAAGACUGGUCAGUGGUACUAGUAACUGGAAGAAAAUGAGAACCUAAAGAGGUGUUGAACCUUAAAGGCUGCCAGGCCAAGAUCUUGGCAAACUAAGCAAAGCAAAUUUGGAAGGAAGCUGCUUUCACAGAGUUGGGGCAGUGAUUGUCAAACAGACCUGACAUACCUGUCUCCCAAGGCAUUUUAGCAGCUUAUUUUUGAUGCUAGUUAUGAAAUCACAGGUUUUGUGCAACUAUAAUCACUAAAAACAUUGUUUGCAACUUUAUUUUUAUAAAGGGAUUCAAUCACACAUAUUACAAUGUCUGUUCAGUGCUAGAGAGAAAGUUUAAGGCCCCUAGAUUUGAACUGCUCUGUUGAUUUCUAUGUGUCAGUGCUGAAUCUCAAGCUGCCAGAGUGCAGAGGAUGCUGAAGAUUGUCCUCCCCACUGUGCCACUGGUGUCACCACACUGCUGGAGGCUGUGGGCUGUCACCCCUCCUCUGAGAUGGAUUUCAAACACAGAGUGAAGUGUACAGCUUGAUCCACAAAACACCCCUUGCUUCAGUUCACCUUCAAAACCCACAGUGACUGUGCUGUGUGUCCCACCUCAAGCUACAUCUCUGUCUCUAAUGAGGCCAUUAUUGUUAUCAAAGCUAAUUUUGAAGAAUUGAGUGAUGUUCCUGACCUGUGUGUGAAUCUCCUGUACUGCUGAUGUCACCUCCUCCAGACCUGCACAUGAAAUCCCAGCCCCCUACGAGUUUGCCCCUGUGUAAAUUUACCUUGACAGAUUGCAUGUGCUUUGAAUUAAGGACUGUGUUUUCAUAUUUAUCUCUAAAGCAUCUGGGUGCCAUGGUGAUCAUACCAGACAAGCAGACAGAUACACUUAUGCUUAAUGGUAACUGCAGUGCUGGGGUCCUUUUCUGUAAGAGGCUGGGAUUCAUGUUAACAGAGCUGUCUUCUGUAGUUAAACCAAUGAUUCCAAGUUGUCUUGUGUGCUUUUUUUUAGUAAAUUAAUAAGGACACAAAGCUAAGGAGGUGCUUUUAUGUUCUCUGUUAGCUAAACUUAUACUGCAUUUGAACCUGGAAUGAUUCCUCAGCCCAGUCACCUCAUGCUACAGUAGAAUUUGCUUUGUUGUUGUAUUUCUGAAAUAGUAUAACACUGCACUUUGAAAUCUCAUUUAAGAGAAAUGUCUCAGCCUAAAUAUAAGAAAAAGCACCCUUCAGGUCAACAGUUCGAGAAGUAUUGCCUCUUCCAGGCAACUCUAAUUAUGUAUUGAUUGUACUUAAAUCUUGCAUUACAGUUCAUUUCAUGUUACAUUCA